CCCUUAGAUGUUCUGGGCUGCACACGCGCUACACUGGCAGGUUCAGCGAGCUUCUUGCCCUGAUCUGAGAAGAAUGGGAAACCUUUUCAACACCUGCCGUGCUUGGGAUAGAUGUUUGCAAUUAUUCAUCUUCAACAAGGAUUGCCUUGUAGGCGUGCCUCAUCAGGGCACAUCGAAUACGACCCUGUAUUCUGUACACACCGCCCGUCGCUACUACCGAUUGAAUGAUUUAGUGAGGACUUCGGACUGGGACCGAUGCGGCUUUCGGGCUGCGUCGGUAUUCUGGAAAGAUGUCCAAACUGUAUCAUUUAGAGGAAGUAAAAGUCGUAACA
rnacentral:rRNA from 1 species